AUAUCAUAAGCGGAGGAAAAGAAACCAACGGGGAUUGCCCCAGUAACGGCGAGUGAAGCGGCAACAGCUCAAAUUUGAAAUCUGGCCCCGCUUUAGGGGUCCGAGUUGUAAUUUGGAGAGGAUGCUUCGGGCGAGCGCGCGGUUUAAAUCCCUUGGAACAGGGUAUCACAGAGGGUGAGAGUCCCGUCUUUAACCGUGAGUCGAGCCUGUGUGAAGCUCCUUCGACGAGUCGGGUUGUUUGGGAAUGCAGCUCAAAAUGGGUGGUAAAUUUCAUCUAAAGCUAAAUAUUGGCCAGAGACCGAUAGCGCACAAGUAGAGUGAUCGAAAGAUGAAAAGCACUUUGAAAAGAGAGUUAAACAGCAUGUGAAAUUGUUGAAAGGGAAGCGCUUGCAACCAGACUUGUGGGCGGCAGUUCAGCCGUUAUUCUUAACGGUGCACUCUGCCGUUUCCAAGCCAGCGUCGGUUCAGGUAACCGGUUAAAGGUCGGGGGAAUGUAUCUGUCCUUCGGGGCAGACUUAUAGCCCCAGGCGGCAUCCGGCUCACCGGGACCGAGGUACGCGCUCCGGCACGGAUGCUGGCGUAAUGGUUGUAAGCGGCCCGUCUUGAAACACGGACCAAGGAGUCUAACAUCUAUGCGAGUGUUUGGGCGUUGAAACCCCAGCGCGGAAUGAAAGUGAACGGAGGUAGGAACCCCUCGGGGCGCACUAUCGACCGAUCCUGAUGUCUUCGGAUGGAUUUGAGUAAGAGCAUAGCUGUUGGGACCCGAAAGAUGGUGAACUAUGCCUGAAUAGGGUGAAGCCAGAGGAAACUCUGGUGGAGGCUCGCAGCGGUUCUGACGUGCAAAUCGAUCGUCAAAUUUAGGCAUAGGGGCGAAAGACUAAUCGAACCAUC
rnacentral:rRNA from 1 species